rnacentral:lncRNA from 1 species
AAGAAAGAAAGUAAAGGGUUAGGAGAAAUCAACUACAACCAAGUUAUCAGAUUCUUGAAAACUGGCAAACUUCAAUUUAAUUUUCUGGAGAAAGUGAGCGAAACUGAGAGAAAGUGAUAAACAGUUAUGAAUCUUAUAGAGGAAACAACGCAAAUGAACUUGUAAUGGAUCUAUACAGAAAGAAAGAACGAAAAAAAAAGAAGAAAAAGGGUUAGG